GGGUAAGUCUUAUACGGUCAGCUCCCUUUGAAUCCCCCAGGGCAGGAAUGCAGCAAGGGUGUUAGGUUGUAGCGACGCGAUAUAAUCAGCUUACCCUUU
rnacentral:SRP_RNA from 1 species